AACGAACGCUGGCGGCGUGCCUAAUACAUGCAAGUCGAGCGGACAGAAGGGAGCUUGCUCCCGGAAGUUAGCGGCGGACGGGUGAGUAACACGUGGGCAACCUACCCUGUAGAUCGGGAUAACAUCGAGAAAUCGGUGCUAAUACCGGAUAAUCAUUUGAAGUGCAUGCUUCGAAUGUAAAAGAUGGCUCCGGCUAUCAAUAAGGGAUGGGCCCGCGGCGCAUUAGCUAGUUGGUAAGGUAAUGGCUUACCAAGGCAACGAUGCGUAGCCGACCUGAGAGGGGGAUCGGCCACACUGGGACUGAGACACGGCCCAGACUCCUACGGGAGGCAGCAGUAGGGAAUCUUCCGCAAUGGACGAAAGUCUGACGGAGCAACGCCGCGUGAGUGAUGAAGGUUUUCGGAUCGUAAAGCUCUGUUGUUAGGGAAGAACAAGUGCCGUUUGAAUAAGGCGGCACCUUGACGGUACCUAACCAGAAAGCCACGGCUAACUACGUGCCAGCCGCCGCCGUAAGAC
rnacentral:rRNA from 1 species